AGGUAUCUGGUUUUCUUUAAUUACUCAUAAUCUCUUUUGAUGGCCCAACUAUCGAUCUUGGUUACAAAAACCCCUACAUAUUCUGGCUCCUCCCUUACCUCUUCAAAGCAGAAGCAAUUCUUCAGAGCUGGCUGAGAAGCUAUCUCCCUGGCUUGAAGUUCUCAGAAAGUCCACCAAAUAAAACAUAAUUCUCAUCUUCUAGGUUGUGCAUUUUUUUUCAGUCGACAAGGGGAAUAGGCAAGAAAAGGGGUUGAAAUGGCAAUAGAGCCUCAGAGGGUAUUCACUGAUUUCUGUCCAUGAGCUGGGCCUAGCUGGGGAAUGACUGAGCAGGAGCAAGGAGAGGACCUGGGAGGAUUCUUUGUAGUCUUCAGCCCCUUUCUAUUCCCUGGUGGAAAGGCCGGGGAGGCAGAGAUGGACACUGUGGGCCACGGUGAGCAUGUGAUCAGCCAGGCCGUGCUUCCUGGUUUGAUAAUCACAAUGGAAUCAGUGGAUUCUUGCACUUUCCAUUAUUUAUAAAACCACACAGUUAAAAGGGCCUAAAAUGUCAUUUUUCUGAAGUCUGUGUCCAAUGAAAGCAUUCUUUCUGAACAGAACUCUCACACCUGAUUGUACAUCUACUUGAAAAACAAACAAAAAGGGCUAAGAACUCUCUUGUAUUCUCUUUUAGGCUGAAAAUGAUCAGUCCUUCAAAUCUUCCCAGGAAAUGGCUUCUUGAUCCUUUUUCAAACCCAAUUGCCUUCUUCUAGGAAGCACUCUUUUUGUAUUCUCAGCUUCAAUUACUUUGAUUUGUUUUUGCCAGUUUGCCCUAAGAACGGAAGGGAAAUGCUCUGUACAAAUGGUAGAGUUUAUUUUUACCAAGACAGCCGAAUCUGGGGUUGUAUUGGAAAAAUAAAAGGAACUUUAUCUUACAUGAACUCUCUGACCACAAGGACUCAAUAUAUUUUUCUCUUCUAAGAAAAAGAGGAGGCCCCAGUAACUUUAAGUAAUAAAGUCAUUUUUUUUUCUCUAGCUGUAAUUCACUGCUUACAGGAAGCCAGAGAGUCUUCCACUAUCAUUUUAAUAAGCCAACAUAAAAAUCACUUCUAAAAAGGUAUUCUAAGAAAUUAUCCAGAUACAGAGUUCAUAGGUAUAAGUUUAUUUUGGUUUAGUUCUUAUAGCAUAUAAAAAUUAGAAGCAUUUACAUAUCUAACAAUACUAACAUGUGAAAUAAAUCCCGUUUUCUACUUACAAACUGUGUGACCUCAGGCAAAUCAGUUCACCUCUCCAAUGAGUAUUAAUGGAGAAAAGACCAGUACAUCACAGUGCCUAGCACAUAUUAAGUGCCACCAUCAUCAUUAUUCCCAUUCUACAGAUAAGAAAUUGAGACUCCAGGAGGUAGAAUACCAAAAUCACAGAGCUAGUGAGUGGUAAGGGUCAGGGCUUGAAACCAGUGCUUUUUCCUUUCUUCUUUACCUCCUUAUUGAGCAUCGGUAUUAAGUGCCAUGCUUGGCACUGGGGAUGUAACUGAAACAGACACAGAUACCUUGCUCUCAUGGUGCUUAUCUUCUGGUAGGGAACAAGGCCAUCAAAUAUUUACACAUAUAAGUGGAAAGGUGCCUGAAUAUAUAUGGGUUUGAGACCAAGUAACAAGAUCCCUGGAAUUUGUCUGAAAGGUCAGGAUAUUACAAUUCCAGGAGUGAAAACUUGCUUAUAAUAUUAUGAACACUAACACUAUUUGCCAUGCUUUUCAUGAUCAUUACAUAGACGUUUCAUACUCAAAAGUGAAAACAAAGCUUCACUCUCAAUUUUUGAAAUUUAAUAAAUAAAAAGCCAUAAGCCUAAUGUUAAAUAACUAUGUGGUACACCUGAAACCAGUAAAACAUAUGUCAAAUCUAUUUCAAAUUAAUUAAUUAAAGGAAGAGCUGGAUUUUAUAAAAAGCCACAAGCCUGACAAAGGCAUUUCAAAAUUGCCUACUUUUAUAUUUUCUUUUCUUUUCUUUUUUUUUUUUUUUUUUUUUUUUGGUCUUGUUACCUUUUUCUACGGCCUCUCCUGCGGCAUAUGGAGUUCCCAGGCCAGGGGUCUAAUCGGAGCUAUAGCGACCAGUCUACACCACAGCCACACCAAUAUGGGAUCUGAGCCGCGUCUGCAACCUACACCACAGCUCACGGCAACGCCUGAUCAUUAACCCACUGAGCAAGGCCAGGGAUAGAACCCGCAGCCUCAUGGUUCCCAGUCGGAUUCGUUAACCAAUGUGCCAUGACGGGAACGCCUAUAUUUUCAUAGUUAAAUAAAUUUGCAACAUCCUUUGUGUAGCCAACAUUUAACAGAGUACAGGAACUUCUCAUUUCAAAAUAAAAAGUAUAAUAGAGUUUCAUUUAUUAUAUUACUUUUAAUUUUCCAUGCUUUUUUGUAAGCUUAUGAAAUGUACACUUUAAAGAUGGAUGAAGGUUACUGUUUAUGACAUAAACAGAUAAAAUGAAAAUCUUGUGGCUAUCAAACUGGAAGAAGCAUAUUAAUAUUGAUUUUUAAAUGCAUAGUUCAAUUGGAAAAGAGAAUCUCUAGGGGUCAAAAUCAAAGAGAAAAGUGAAAGGCACUUCAGCUAUCCAAUUUGCUGAAGUGGAUAUACUGAGGGUGGUUAUUAUAAAUGUGUGAUCAAGAGGACUGAGGUUUCAUAAUUACACAGGGAGAAAAGGUGGGGCUUUGUAUUGACCAGAGUCAAGGAGUGGUAACUUUUUUCUUAUGAAGCCUGGAUAUUCAUAGGCUGAAAUUUAAAUGCAAAUGUGUACAUGAGACAUCUACUCAUAUUUAUGGGGUGAUAAAAAGACAAUUAGUCUGUGCCUGGUCAGACUCUAGGUAAGAGAAAAAAAUCCUGUACAAUUGAUAGUUCUGCAUCAGCCUUCACACUGGAUUGAAGCUAUGAGUUCCAGGGCUAGUAACAGAAUAUCCAGGGGGAAAGAGAGUCUUGAUUUUUAGCAUUUACUAAUUUCUGUGGCAUUAAGUAAUUCCACUACUGCUAACUUCAAGCUACCAAUGUGAUGUCAUGAAAUGUGGAGCUGAGGAGAGAUUUGACAAUCAACUCUCACAAAUCAAUGUGAGCUAGAUCUACCUAGCAUACUGUUGGUCUAACGGGGGAACUCAUACCAUUCAAAUAAUCCAGAAAUAAUGAGAUAAAUAACAACCCACUGGUACAUCGUAAUAUGUUUAUUGCCUGUUUAUACUUCAACUCUGCAACUUAAAAUUAAAAAGUCGGUUUUAAAAGGUUUUAUACAUGGAACUGGCCUCAUCUAGGUUAUCAGUUCAAAUGUAUACCAUGUAUUCACAUGGUUUGGGAAAUCCCACUAAAAAAAAAAAAGUUAAUAACAACAAGGUGCUUUGGGAUUCACAAUUUCUUUGGUGCAUCUGACAAAGCAAAUAAAAAAUUAGUCUAGAAGAAGAGACUCAACCUAUGUGACACAGGAAAUAUCCAAUGAAAAAUGAUGAGCUCACAAUAUGAAAUUGUAAAAUACACUAUGAAAGGAAAUAUAUGUUAAUAUUAGUGAAAAUAAAAAUCACAGUAUUGGGAUUUAAAGUCUGUAUAUGUGUGCAUAAUAUAUGUGUAUGCCUGAGCAUGUAGACACACAGGUGUGUGACUCCCAUGUCUUUAAUGAGUAUAGGACUCUGUGUUUUCUAAAUAUUGAGUUUUAUGGCUAUGUUUUUGUCUAGAAAUUUCUGGAUUUCAUCCAGUUUUCAAAUUUAUUUGCACAAAACUCUUCCCACAUUUCUCAUUAAUUAAAAAACUCUGUUUUAGAUACAGUUACGUUCCAUUGUUCACGUCUAAGACAGCUAAAUACUAAUAUUAUUAAUAUUAUUAUUAUUCUCAAUGGACUAGUGCUGAGUAUAUUCACUUAAAUGUCUCAAAGAACAAAUGUUUCAUUUUGUUGUACUUAAAUAUUACCUCUUACAUUUCUGGAUUAUCUUCUGCUUAUAUGUCAUUUUCUUAUUAAUUCCUUUCUUGGACUUUCUUUGGAAUUAAAAUAUUAGUCUUUUAAAAAAAUUUUCUUGUGAAGAUGGCUUAAGUCACUGAAUUUAUUUUAUUUCCAGUAUGUGUGCUUAAAGCUAUUUCUUUUUACUAUCACUUUUAUUCCAUCCUACAAGUUUUAUGUUUGCAGACACUACAAUAAUAAAGAUUGCAUUGCUUUAUAAAGCUAAUAUAUUCUUGAGUCAGAUAAGAACAACAUGGGAAAGGAAUAUUAUAGACAUGAGCUCUCACCAUUAAGAUUGGUACUCAAAAUUCAGUGCAAUGCUAGCAUGUAGAUUAUAAUAAAACUCUAAAAAUUAGAAUGUGAAUAAAUUGUGUGCCUACCAGAAAAGCAAGUGUGACUCAACAUAUAUAAAUAUAUCAUUCCCCAUUGUAAUAGAGUAAACGAGAAAAAUCAUAUGAUUAGCUCAGUAGUGCUUUGAUUAAAUUCAAUAUACAAUGAAAAAAUUGGAUAAAAUUACAUAUGUAUUAUUAUUUUUUAAAUAACUUAGAAAUAUAGGAGAAGUCAACUCCUUAAUAUGGUAAAGAUUAUCUUUCAAAAUCUAUAGCAGAAAAGGAUGCCAUCCAUUUCACAGUGAAAAAGUAAUAUGAAAAAAUGAAAGGAAAUACAUAAACGUUAUAAAGACAGGACAGAAAGAGGAAGAGCCUAAUUUAUUUUAGUGGCUGUAUAAGGGAAAAUGCUUGAAAAAACAAAUGAAUGAAUAUAAAUAGAAUAGCGUUACUUAAAAUUUUCAUAGCAUUUCUAAUAUGCCAGGUAUUAUCCUAAUUACUUUAAAUCUUUUAAAUUUAUUUAAUUCUCAGAACGAUUUGAUAAAAUGGUUAUUUUCUCUUACCCCAUUUA
rnacentral:lncRNA from 1 species